GGGCGUGCGGCAGCUUACCAUGCAGUCGAGCGGAACGAUGGUAGCUUGCUACCAGGCGUCGAGCGGCGGACGGGUGAGUAAUACUUAGGAAUCUACCUAGUAGUGGGGGAUAGCUCGGGGAAACUCGAAUUAAUACCGCAUACGACCUACGGGAGAAAGGGGGCAACUUGUUGCUCUCGCUAUUAGAUGAGCCUAAGUCGGAUUAGCUAGAUGGUGGGGUAAAGGCCUACCAUGGCGACGAUCUGUAGCUGGUCUGAGAGGAUGAUCAGCCACACCGGGACUGAGACACGGCCCGGACUCCUACGGGAGGCAGCAGUGGGGAAUAUUGGACAAUGGGGGAAACCCUGAUCCAGCCAUGCCGCGUGUGUGAAGAAGGCCUUUUGGUUGUAAAGCACUUUAAGCAGUGAAGAAGACUCCUCGGUUAAUACCCGUGGACGAUGGCAUUAGCUGCAGAAUAAGCACCGGCUAACUCUGUGCCAGCAGCCGCGGUAAUACAGAGGGUGCAAGCGUUAAUCGGAAUUACUGGGCGUAAAGCGAGCGUAGGUGGCUUGAUAAGUCAGAUGUGAAAUCCCCGGGCUUAACCUGGGAACUGCAUCUGAAACUGUUAGGCUAGAGUAGGUGAGAGGAAGGUAGAAUUCCAGGUGUAGCGGUGAAAUGCGUAGAGAUCUGGAGGAAUACCGAUGGCGAAGGCAGCCUUCUGGCAUCAUACUGACACUGAGGCCCGAAAGCGUGGGUGGCAAACAGGAUUAGAUACCCUGGUAGUCCACGCCGUAAACGAUGUCUACUAGUCGUUGGGUCCCUUGAGGACUUAGUGACGCAGCUAACGCAAUAAGUAGACCGCCUGGGGAGUACGGGCCGCAAGGUUAAAACUCAAAUGAUUGACGGGGCCCGCACAGCGGUGGAGCAUGUGGUUUAUUCGAUGCAACGCGAGACCUUACCUGUCUUGACAUAUCUAGGA
rnacentral:rRNA from 1 species